rnacentral:rRNA from 1 species
GGUUAAGCGACUAAGCGUACACGGUGGAUGCCCUGGCAGUCAGAGGCGAUGAAGGACGUGCUAAUCUGCGAAAAGCGUCGGUAAGGUGAUAUGAACCGUUAUAGCCGGCGAUGUCCGAAUGGGGAAACCCAGUGUGAUUCGUCACACUAUCGUUAACUGAAUACAUAGGUUAACGAGGCGAACCGGGGGAACUGAAACAUCUAAGUACCCCGAGGAAAAGAAAUCAACCGAGAUUCCCCCAGUAGCGGCGAGCGAACGGGGAGCAGCCCAGAGUCUGAAUCAGCUUGUGUGUUAGUGGAACGGUCUGGAAAGUCCGACGGUACAGGGUGAUAGUCCCGUACACCAAAAUGCACAGGCUGUGAACUCGAAGAGUAGGGCGGGACACGUGGUAUCCUGUCUGAAUAUGGGGGGACCAUCCUCCAAGGCUAAAUACU